CGUCUCCUGACUGGUGCCUCGCCUCCUGGAUUCCCUUAGAUGUCCUCUAGGCCUGCAGUCUGGAGCCCCCUCCUCCAGGGGGCCCUCUGGAACUUCCCCACCAGGUGCACCUCUCCUGCGCACUCGUCUGUCUUAGCCGCCAGGCAAGUAGUCCACGGCAAGUGCAGGGCCGGGUGGAAUUCACACGUGCGUCCUGAGCACCUGCUCGUGGCUUCUUAGUGACGGCUGGCACUGAGUUCCAAGAGCAACAGAUUACCAAGUAGGUGCUGCUGGGGAGUUGGAGCACGAGGUGAGGCGGGAGCACGAAGGCGGGGAAGCUCCUGGGAGCCAUGUGAGCUCAGCGGCAGGGGCUCCUGCGUCCAGCAGUGGAGGACGGCGGCCGCCCAAAAAGACGUGUCCACAUCCUCACCCCCGGUGCCUGGGAAUGGGACCUUAUUUGCAAAAAGGGGUCUCUGCAGAUGUCUUGAAUUACGGAUCCUGACAUGAGCGGGUCACCCUGGAUUAUCUGGGGGGGGGUCCCUAAAGCCAGUGACCACCAUCCUCAUAGGAGAGGCACAGAGGACAGACAGGCAGACACAGGGUGAGGCCACGGGACUCGAGCGAGGGGGCCACAGCCCAGGAGAGCCCGGAGACAGCAGGAGCCGAAGGAGGCAGGAAGCACCCUCCCCGAGAGCACCCGAGGGUGAGCACGGCCCUGCCCACACCUGCAUUCUGGACUUCCAGCCUCAGAACACUGAGAAUAAAGUUCUGCUAGGUUUUUUGAAA